AACACGCUGUGAGCAAUCUGCCCUUGACUCUGGGAUAACUGCGGGAAACUGUAGCUAAUACCGGAUACGAGAUUCGGAGGCAUCUCCGGAUCUGGAAAGAAUUUCGGUCAAGGAUGAGCUCGCGGCCUAUCAGCUUGUUGGUGAGGUAAUGGCUCACCAAGGCGACGACGGGUAGCCGGCCUGAGAGGGUGACCGGCCACACUGGGACUGAGACACGGCCCAGACUCCUACGGGAGGCAGCAGUGGGGAAUAUUGCACAAUGGGCGAAAGCCUGAUGCAGCAACGCCGCGUGAGGGAUGAAGGCCUUCGGGUUGUAAACCUCUUUUAGCAGGGAAGAAGCGAAAGUGACGGUACCUGCAGAAAAAGCACCGGCUAACUACGUGCCAGCAGCCGCGGUAAUACGUAGGGUGCAAGCGUUGUCCGGAAUUAUUGGGCG
rnacentral:rRNA from 1 species